rnacentral:rRNA from 1 species
AACGAUGACGACCUUCGGGUCGUAAACUCCUUUCGACCGAGAUGAAUACCUGCCGACCUAACACGUGGGCAGGCUGACAGUAUCGAGGGAGAAGCCCGGCUAACUCCGUGCCAGCAGCCGCGGUAAUACGGGGGGGCAAGCGUUGUUCGGAAUUACUGGGCGUAAAGGGUUCGUAGGUGGCCUACUAAGUCAGACGUGAAAUCCCUCAGCUUAACUGGGGAACUGCGUCUGAUACUGGAGGGCUUGAGUGCAGGAGAGGAACGCGGAAUUCCAGGUGUAGCGGUGAAAUGCGUAGAUAUCUGGAGGAACACCGGUGGCGAAGGCGGCGUUCUGGACUGCAACUGACACUGAUGAACGAAAGCCAGGGGAGCAAACGGGAUUAGAUACCCCGGUAGUCCUGGCCCUAAACGAUGAAUGCUCGGUGUGGCGGGUAUCGAUCCCUGCCGUGCCGCAGUUAACGCGUUAAGCAUUCCGCCUGGGGAGUACGGUCGCAAGGCUG